UCCUGACUGACCGAUAGUGAACCAGUACCGUGAGGGAAAGGCGAAAAGAACCCCGGCGAGGGGAGUGAAAAAGAACCUGAAACCGUGUACGUACAAGCAGUGGGAGCCUCUUUAUGGGGUGACUGCGUACCUUUUGUAUAAUGGGUCAGCGACUUAUAUUCUGUAGCAAGGUUAACCGAAUAGGGGAGCCGAAGGGAAACCGAGUCUUAACUGGGCGUUAAGUUGCAGGGUAUAGACCCGAAACCCGGUGAUCUAGCCAUGGGCAGGUUGAAGGUUGGGUAACACUAACUGGAGGACCGAACCGACUAAUGUUGAAAAAUUAGCGGAUGACUUGUGGCUGGGGGUGAAAGGCCAAUCAAACCGGGAGAUAGCUGGUUCUCCCCGAAAGCUAUUUAGGUAGCGCCUCGUGAAUUCAUCUCCGGGGGUAGAGCACUGUUUCGGCAAGGGGGUCAUCCCGACUUACCAACCCGAUGCAAACUGCGAAUACCGGAGAAUGUUAUCACGGGAGACACACGGCGGGUGCUAACGUCCGUCGUGAAGAGGGAAACAACCCAGACCGCCAGCUAAGGUCCCAAAGUCAUGGUUAAGUGGGAAACGAUGUGGGAAGGCCCAGACAGCCAGGAUGUUGGCUUAGAAGCAGCCAUCAUUUAAAGAAAGCGUAAUAGCUCACUGGUCGAGUCGGCCUGCGCGGAAGAUGUAACGGGGCUAAACCAUGCACCGAAGCUGCGGCAGCGACGCUUAUGCGUUGUUGGGUAGGGGAGCGUUCUGUAAGCCUGUGAAGGUGUGCUGUGAGGCAUGCUGGAGGUAUCAGAAGUGCGAAUGCUGACAUAAGUAACGAUAAAGCGGGUGAAAAGCCCGCUCGCCGGAAGACCAAGGGUUCCUGUCCAACGUUAAUCGGGGCAGGGUGAGUCGACCCCUAAGGCGAGGCCGAAAGGCGUAGUCGAUGGGAAACAGGUUAAUAUUCCUGUACUUGGUGUUACUGCGAAGGGGGGACGGAGAAGGCUAUGUUGGCCGGGCGACGGUUGUCCCGGUUUAAGCGUGUAGGCUGGUUUUCCAGGCAAAUCCGGAAAAUCAAGGCUGAGGCGUGAUGACGAGGCACUACGGUGCUGAAGCAACAAAUGCCCUGCUUCCAGGAAAAGCCUCUAAGCAUCAGGUAACAUCAAAUCGUACCCCAAACCGACACAGGUGGUCAGGUAGAGAAUACCAAGGCGCUUGAGAGAACUCGGGUGAAGGAACUAGGCAAAAUGGUGCCGUAACUUCGGGAGAAGGCACGCUGAUAUGUAGGUGAAGUCCCUCGCGGAUGGAGCUGAAAUCAGUCGAAGAUACCAGCUGGCUGCAACUGUUUAUUAAAAACACAGCACUGUGCAAACACGAAAGUGGACGUAUACGGUGUGACGCCUGCCCGGUGCCGGAAGGUUAAUUGAUGGGGUCAGCGCAAGCGAAGCUCUUGAUCGAAGCCCCGGUAAACGGCGGCCGUAACUAUAACGGUCCUAAGGUAGCGAAAUUCCUUGUCGGGUAAGUUCCGACCUGCACGAAUGGCGUAAUGAUGGCCAGGCUGUCUCCACCCGAGACUCAGUGAAAUUGAACUCGCUGUGAAGAUGCAGUGUACCCGCGGCAAGACGGAAAGACCCCGUGAACCUUUACUAUAGCUUGACACUGAACAUUGAGCCUUGAUGUGUAGGAUAGGUGGGAGGCUUAGAAGUGUGGACGCCAGUCUGCAUGGAGCCGACCUUGAAAUACCACCCUUUAAUGUUUGAUGUUCUAACGUUGACCCGUAAUCCGGGUUGCGGACAGUGUCUGGUGGGUAGUUUGACUGGGGCGGUCUCCUCCUAAAGAGUAACGGAGGAGCACGAAGGUUGGCUAAUCCUGGUCGGACAUCAGGAGGUUAGUGCAAUGGCAUAAGCCAGCUUGACUGCGAGCGUGACGGCGCGAGCAGGUGCGAAAGCAGGUCAUAGUGAUCCGGUGGUUCUGAAUGGAAGGGCCAUCGCUCAACGGAUAAAAGGUACUCCGGGGAUAACAGGCUGAUACCGCCCAAGAGUUCAUAUCGACGGCGGUGUUUGGCACCUCGAUGUCGGCUCAUCACAUCCUGGGGCUGAAGUAGGUCCCAAGGGUAUGGCUGUUCGCCAUUUAAAGUGGUACGCGAGCUGGGUUUAGAACGUCGUGAGACAGUUCGGUCCCUAUCUGCCGUGGGCGCUGGAGAACUGAGGGGGGCUGCUCCUAGUACGAGAGGACCGGAGUGGACGCAUCACUGGUGUUCGGGUUGUCAUGCCAAUGGCACUGCCCGGUAGCUAAAUGCGGAAGAGAUAAGUGCUGAAAGCAUCUAAGCACGAAACUUGCCCCGAGAUGAGUUCUCCCUGACUCCUUGAGAGUCCUGAAGGAACGUUGAAGACGACGACGUUGAUAGGCCGGGUGUGUAAGCGCAGCGAUGCGUUGAGCUAACCGGUACUAAUGAACCGUGAGGCUUAACCUUACAACGCCGAAGCUGUU
rnacentral:rRNA from 1 species